rnacentral:rRNA from 1 species
AUGGAUAUGGAUUGCAGCAGCAGCCUAGGCCCUCUCGCCACGGAUGCGGCGGGCGAGCUGGAUGUCCUUGGGCAUGAUGGUGACGCGCUUGGCGUGGAUGGCGCAGAGGUUGGUGUCCUCGAAGAGGCCCACGAGGUAGGCCUCGGCGGCCUCCUGCAGGGCGGAGACGGCGGAGGACUGGAAGCGGAGGUCGGUCUUGAAGUCCUGGGCGAUCUCCCGGACGAGGCGCUGGAAGGGGAGCUUGCGGAUGAGCAGCUCCGUGCUCUUCUGGUACUUGCGGAUCUCACCGAGCGCGACGGUGCCGGAGCUAAGCGGUGGGGCUUCUUCACGCCGCCGGUGGCCGGGGCGGACUUGCGGGCGGCCUUGGUCGCCAGCUGCUUCCUCGGCGCCUUGCCGCCGGUGGACUUCCUCGCCGUCUGCUUGGUGCGGGCCAUGUCGUCGAUGCGCGGGGAGGUUGAGGAGGUUCUGGUGCUUGGGGGUUGGGAAGAUUUGAGUGAGGCCUCCUUUGGUUUAUAG